rnacentral:misc_RNA from 1 species
GUUGUACUUGAGGCUCUGCCUUGCGUUGAGAUUUCCUGCAAAGGAAUGCUCCAAACUCAUGGGCGUCUGUCGUGCCUGAACCGCAACAAAAUGCGCAAAGGCAGCAGGCAGCCGCCGAAAACCGACU